UGAAUCAUAGAAUUUCUUCAAAUUCAUGAUGUCGUAAGGGAAAAUAAUGAUAAUACCUUACUAUGAGUGUCGUCCAAAUCUGGUGCCAGAAGACUCGGUAAGACCAGAGACGCAAACGUUAAUCAUCAUAAACAGGCGUAAAGGGUUUGUAGGCAGCUCUCACAAAGACAUAUGCAAAAUAAGGUGUUUUAAUUGAGAGCUAGAAUCAAAAAGAGGUUAUAGUGUAUAACGCCUAGAGGAGGGCUGAUAUCCAUAGAUCCUAGGCAGAAUACUAAGGGCGAAGGCCACUCUCCACUAAUGAUUGACGCUGAGAAACGAAGGUUAGGAUAAGAAAUAGGAUUAGAUACCCAGGUACUCCUUUCUGUAAACGAUGAAUGGUAGUCAUUAGUCAACAAACUAGAGGCGAAGUUAACACAAUAACCAUUCCGCCUUGUGAGUACUACUGCAAAGUAGAAAACAAAAAAAUUAGUCGGUCUCGAAGCAAACGGAGUGAAGCAUGUUAUUUAA
rnacentral:rRNA from 2 species